rnacentral:rRNA from 1 species
GAUGGAAAGCCUGGCUCACCUAGAACUGCAUCCAAACUAGAUGACUAGAGUACGAAAGAGGAGUAGAUCACAGUGUAGCGUGAAUGCGUAGAUAUGUGAAGAAUACAAUGGCGAAGGCAGCUCCUGCUCUGUACUGACACUGAGGUGCGAAAGCGUGGGUAGCGAACAGGAUUAGAUACCCUGGUAGUCACGCCGUAAACGAUGACAACUAGCUGUGGGAGACAAGAUCUCUCAGUGGCGCAGCUAACGCUUUAAGUUGUCCGCCUGGGGAGUACGGCCGCAAGGUUAAAACUCAAAUGAAUUGACGGGGACCCGCACAAGCGGUGGAGCAUGUGGUUUAAUUCGAUGCAACGCGAAAAACCUUACCUACUCUUGACAUACUUGGAAGCUCUUGUAAUGAGAGUGUGCUUUUAGAGCCAAGAUACAGGUGUUGCAUGGCUGUCGUCAGCUCGUGUCGUGAGAUGUUGGGUUAAGUCCCAUAACGAGCGCAACCCUUACCCUUAUUUGCCAGCGGUUCGGCCGGGAACUAUAAGGGGACUGCCGGUGACAAACCGGAGGAAGGUGAGGACGACGUCAAGUCAUCAUGGCCCUUACGAGUAGGGCUACACACGUGCUACAAUGGGGAAUACAGACGGACGCUAAAGCGUGAGCUGGUGCUAAUCCUAAAAAAUUUCUCGUAGUCCGGAUUGCAGUCUGCAACUCGACUGCAUGAAGUCGGAAUCGCUAGUAAUCGCGAAUCAGCAUGUCGCGGUGAAUACGUUCUCGGGUCUUGUACACACCGCCCGUCACACCAUGGAAGUGUGUUGCACCAGAAGUAGGUAGUCUAACCUUCGGGAAGGCGCUUACCACGGUGUGAUCCAUGACUGGGGUGAAGUCGUAACAAGGUAA